rnacentral:tRNA from 1 species
GCCUAUAGCUCAGCUGGCUAGAGCCACCGGCUCAUAACCGGUAGGUCCUUGGUUCGAGAGCAGAAUAAGCG